UACGUAGGGACCGAGCGUUGUCCGGAAUCAUUGGGCGUAAAGAGCGUGUAGGCGGCCCCUUAAGUCCUGCGUGAAAUCCUGCGGCUCAACCGCAGACGGUCGUGGGAAACUGGAGGGCUAGAGUGCGGGAGAGGAGAGUGGAAUUCCCGGUGUAGCGGUGAAAUGCGUAGAUAUCAGGAGGAACACCGGUGGCGAAGGCGGCUUUCUGGACAGAUACCGACGCUGAGGCACGAAAGCUAGGGGAGCAAACAGG
rnacentral:rRNA from 1 species